ensembl:snRNA U6 U6 spliceosomal RNA
GUACUCACAUGGAUAGCUCAUCUAUUAAAAUUGGAAUGAUAAAGAUCAGCAUGGUCCCUGCAGAAGGAUGACAAAAUUCAUGAAGUGCUUCAUAUUUUU